GGCCUCGUAGCUCAGCUGGUAGAGCGUGCACUGUAGGCGGCGUCCAUGCGUCGGUUCGAAUCCCACCGAGGCUA
rnacentral:tRNA from 1 species